rnacentral:lncRNA from 1 species
CAAAUUUAAAAUUUUCCACUGAGUGUCAGUGAGUAUAACUUUAACCCAUAAAGGCCUAAGGACUGUGAGGUGGUCUUGGCUGGGCAAAGAUCAGCCCCAUGGGUGAUCUGGUCCUUGCUUACCCUUGAUUAUGUAAAGAACAAGACUGUGCACACACAGGGAGGAUGGAACACUCUGCCCAGAUAGCCACACAUGCAAAGGUAAGUUCUCUGUUUUAGACAGACCACCAGCACCUCUGUAAGAGGAAAAGGUUCUUUAGCUCUGUUUCCGGUGCUCAUUCUUGUGAGAGCCCAAUUAAGCAAAGUUUCUGCUGUUUUCAGCUCCUCUGGACACGAACAAGAGGUGGUAUCCAAUCUGCCAUAGCAGAACUUCACCUGGGAGAAAACUGGAACCUAAUGCAGGAUUGUGCAGAGCAGGAAUUGCCUCAUGAGUGUUCAGAGCACGCAGGUGGAGACUCUACCCAAGAUGAAUCCCCCCAGGAAGAAUCUGAGAGACCCUGGGAAAGAAAGGUGACAUCCAGGGUCACCAGCUGGGAAGGACAAAGAAGGCUUGGGCUGAGAAAGAAUUGUGACAGAGCAUGUGGAAAAAGGAAGGGAUACCUAAUUCCUGUAUUAAUUACAGUUUUUAUGGCAUACUGGGCACUCCUGUGCAUAUUUGCUUCAGAGCUCACCAACCUGGAAGACGUGAAGACAUGGCUGAGGUUUGCUCCUUGCCUGAUAAAACAGUCUGAUCUUGAACAGUUCUAUCUGGCCACUGUAGCAAGUGAUGUGAGCAACCCUCAUAAAAUGAAAUGUUCAAUAUUCUGUCUGUAGAAUCACAUCCAUUUUCACAACAUCUGGAAUGAUUCCCCUGACUUUUCAGUGCUUUUUAGGCUAAAUGUUCCGUGAAGUCUGUGUACAACUAACAGUUGCUGCUUUUUUUCUGGAGUGAGAAGAGAAUGUACAUUUUUGCAUCCAUUUGUGUGGCUUCUGGGACUUUUUCUGCUUUUAACAUUCUCUGGCAAUGCCUCAUCCUGAGUCUGCCUUUGGCGGCGGCCACUGCACUGAGGGGCCAUGCAGGCAGAAUAAAUAACAAGGCAGUGCUGAGAGCCUUUCCUUG